rnacentral:lncRNA from 1 species
GAACACUUAAGUAAUAUGAAAAACAAGGCUUGCAAAGACUAUUCUAAGGCUCUUAACUCAAACUAUUGCUUUUCAAAAGGUUGUGUUCUCAGUUGAGAUUUGAGGAGUAUUUAUAGGCCUCAAGAGGAUUCAAAUUUGGGCUCCAAAAUUUGAAUUCUCUUUGGUUCCCGAUGCUGGCGGUGCCACCGCCUACACUAUUUCAGCUCACUAGUUGGGCUCCAAAAUUGGCCCAAACCAGUCCGAACUAGAGCCCAAUUGGCCCCUACUUGGUUUAUAGGAUUAACACCUAAUCGUAACCCUAAGUAA